rnacentral:rRNA from 1 species
AUUGAACGCUGGCGGCAGGCCUAACACAUGCAAGUAGAACGAGUGGCGGACGGGUGAGUAAUGUCUGGGAAACUGCCUGCUGGAGGGGGAUAACUACUGGAAACGGUAGCUAAUACCGCAUACCAUCGGAUGUGCCCAGAUGGGAUUAGCCAGUAGGUGGGGUAAAGGCUCACCUAGGAGACGAUCCCUAUCUGGUCUGAGAGGAUGACAAGCCAUACUGGCACUUAGACACGGUCCAGACUCCUACGGGAGGCAGCAGUGGGGAAUAUUGCACAAUGGGCGCAAGCCUGAUGCAGCCAUGCCGCGUGUAUGACGAAGGCCUUCGGGUUGUAAAGUACUUUCAGCGGGGAGGCGUUACCCGCAGAAGAAGCACCUGCUAACUCCGUGCCAGCAGCCGCGGUAAUUC